rnacentral:tRNA from 2 species
AAUUAAUGAACUUGUAUAAGUAUAUACCUUGAAAGUAUAAAAAAGAGUAAAUCCUCUAUUAAUUU